rnacentral:rRNA from 1 species
GACGAACGCUGGCGGCGUGCUUAACACAUGCAAGUCGAACGGAAAGGCCCUGCUUUUGUGGGGUGCUCGAGUGGCGAACGGGUGAGUAACACGUGAGUAACCUGCCCUUGACUUUGGGAUAACUUCAGGAAACUGGGGCUAAUAACGGAUAGGAGCUCCUGCUGCAUGGUGGGGGAUGGAAAGUUUCGGCGGUUGGGGAUGGUCUCGCGGCUUCUUAGCUUGUUGGUGGGGUAGUGGCUUACCAAGGCUUUGACGGGUAGCCGGCCUGAGAGGGUGACCGGCCACAUUGGGACUGAGAUACGGCCCAGACUCCUACGGGAGGCAGCAGUGGGGAAUAUUGCACAAUGGGCGGAAGCCUGAUGCAGCAACGCCGCGUGCGGGAUGACGGCCUUCGGGUUGUAAACCGCUUUCGCCUGUGACGAAGCGUGAGUGACGGUAAUGGGUAAAGAAGCACCGGCUAACUACGUG